GUGGAGAAUACCUUGGAGAAAUCCAGGCUAAUACUGCAUAAGCCCAGAGAUGGGGAAAGGCGGCCUCAAGCUGCCGCAAAGGGAUGAGCCUGUGUCCUAUUAGCUAGUUGGUAGGGUAAAAGCCUACCAAGGCAAAGAUGGGUAACCGGCCUCAGAGGGUGUCCGGUCACACUGGAACUGAAACACGGUCCAGACUCCUACGGGAGGCAGCAGUGGGGAAUAUUGCACAAUGGGCGAAAGCUCGAUGCAGCGACGCCGCGUGGAGGAUGAAGGUUUCGGAUUGUAACUCCUGUUAGUGGGACGAAAGACUGAUACCUAAUACGUAUCGGGGAUGACGGUACCACUAGAGAAAGCCCGGCAAACUUCGUGCCAGCAGCCGCGGUAAUACGAAGGGUGCAAGCGUUAUUCGGAAUCCUGGGCGUAAGAGCGUGAAGGCGGCUUUUUAGUCAUUUGUAAAGUACUCGGCUUAACUGAGUAAAUGCGAGUGAUACUGGGAAGCUAGAGUGCAGGAGAGAAAGGUAGAAUUCUCGGAGUAGCCGGUAAUGCGUAGAUCUCGAGAGGAAUACCGGUUGCGAAGGCGGCCUUUUGGCCUGUUACUGACGCUAAAGCGCGAAAGCGUGGGGAGCAAACAGGAAUAGAUACCCUGGUAGUCCACGCCCGUAACGAUGAUCACUGGAUGUGGGGUUUGCUUAGCAAAAUCUGUGUCGAAGCUAA
rnacentral:rRNA from 1 species